UUGGAGGGCAAGUCUGGUGCCAGCAGCCGCGGUAAUUCCAGCUCCAAUAGCGUAUAUUAAAGUUGUUGCAGUUAAAAAGCUCGUAGUUGAAUUUCGGAGUUUGUCGGUCGGUCGGGCUUCACUGUCCGCACUGGCCUGAUGGAUUCCUACCUUCUGAAUAACCAGCAUGCUAUUAAGUUAGUGCGUUGGGGAAGCAGAGCUAUUACCUUGAAAAAAUUAGAGUGCUUAAAGCAGGCUUAUGCUUGAAUAGAUUAGCAUGGAAUAAUAAAAUAGGACGGCAUGGUUCUAUUUUGUUGGUUUCUAGGAUCACCGUAAUGAUUAAUAGGGAUAGUUGGGGGCAUUAGUAUUCAGGCGCUAGAGGUGAAAUUCUUGGAUUGCCUGAAGACCAACUACUGCGAAAGCAUUUGCCAAGGAUGUUUUCAUUGAUCAAGGACGAAGGUUAGGGGCUCGAAAACGAUCAGAUACCGUUGUAGUCUUAACAGUAAACGAUGCCGACUAGGGAUCGGGCGACCUCACUUUGAUGUGUCGCUCGGCGCCUUACGGGAAAC
rnacentral:rRNA from 1 species